UAAAAAUAUGAGAAAUAGAGAAACAAGAUAACAAUUACAAGGAUACGUAUCCCAGUAUCACUCAUGAGCAUAUCUGGAGUUCAACGGUCAAAGUGAUCAAUGGGAAGGAAUGGCCAGAAAAGUUGCUGCUUUUUAUACCAGGCAAUGGCUGCGUUCAAGGCACAUAUUUUUUGAUCCCCAAUCUUGGGAAUUCUUCAGGUGAAAUUCAAAACUGGCUCUACAGACAGAGGGAAGGGAGAGACCAAAGGAAGAGGCUGACCAUUUCAGAUUGG